CCUGAGCUCGUAGGUGGCAUAGCAUCCUGGCUUGCUGCCAGCGGCUAUUGCUUCUAAUAUCUACCCGGCAAAAGUUUUUGCUUUCAUGGCCGCUCCGGAGCCCGCUGUGCUCGCCACUGAUGUGUCACUACUUGAAAAUACGAAUCCACAGGCUUGCAACCUAAGUGUCUCAGUGACACGGCCGACUUCACGUAAGAACUCGGCUGCCGUUACCAUGCCAUCAAGAGUACUGCUACUACCAGACAGCAACACAUCCGCCUCGCUUUGGGAGCUCGAGGCCAAAAAUAGCACUGAAGCCACCUUCAGUGACCUUGUCCAGAAGAUGGGAAAAAACGGCGGUCGGUUCCUGACACUGUUUUUAUGACAUAGACAGUGAAGAAGAGACAACUGUAAAGCAUCCAAAAAAGAAAAAAAAUGAGCAACCGAGAACAGCAAAGAAGCGCCGCAGCAGUGAAAGCUCCGAAGAAGAGCUCGUCAAACUGAGUCGGCUGAAAAAAGAGAAGGACCUUAGGAGAAGGCAGCUGAAGAAAAAAAAAGAAGACUACAGCAAAGAGUAGAAAUACUUGAGAGGAUUAACAACAAGCUGAAAGACAUGCUGCGAAACAAACUCAAAACAUUGGCCGGCCGUUCUUGUUGCCACCACCAAUGCCACACAAGCGCAUCAAAUAAUCAUGGAGCCUAUGAAAAUGAGG